GAUGAAGCACGAUGAAGGGGUCAACAAUGCGCCAGUUCUAUCUGAAGUAUUUUUCCGCGACAGAAAAGUUGUCCUGGUUGGCUUGCCUGAGCGCACCGCAGCGCUUAAAGAUGCUGGAAGAACUGAUGCAGUGGGAGUGACAUCGCGACCCCGGAUUGGCAGACAUCAUGUGUGACUGAGUAUUGGUGUUAUUCACCCCGCCAGCAGGUAUUAUCUGCUGGCUUUUUU
rnacentral:sRNA from 1 species